AGCGAACGCUGGCGGCAGGCCUAACACAUGCAAGUCGAACGGAUCCUUCGGGAUUAGUGGCGGACGGGUGAGUAACACGUGGGAACGUGCCCUUUGGUUCGGAACAACUCAGGGAAACUUGAGCUAAUACCGGAUGUGCCCUUCGGGGGAAAGAUUUAUCGCCAUUGGAGCGGCCCGCGUCUGAUUAGCUAGUUGGUGAGGUAAAGGCUCACCAAGGCGACGAUCAGUAGCUGGUCUGAGAGGAUGAUCGGCCACAUUGGGACUGAGACACGGCCCAAACUCCUACGGGAGGCAGCAGUGGGGAAUCUUGCGCAAUGGGCGAAAGCCUGACGCAGCCAUGCCGCGUGAAUGAUGAAGGUCUUAGGAUUGUAAAAUUCUUUCACCGGGGACGAUAAUGACGGUACCCGGAGAAGAAGCCCCGGCUAACUUCGUGCCAGCAGCCGCCGUAAAAC
rnacentral:rRNA from 1 species